CCAAUGGAUUUACCAUUGAACUGUACAAUGUAUAAAAGGACCAAGCUACAAUAUUUCUUCACAGAUUUGCUUUGCAAUAAUCUUCAACAAACGCCUUAGAAAAUGCUAUCUGCCACUCAAGUCUUCGCAGCUGUCGCCUUGUUGGGCAUGCUCGCUUAUGCUGCUGCUGACCCAAAUGUGUUUGACGACAUCGAAACUGGCUUGAACCAUAUUAUUGGACACGACAAAAAUCAUAACUAAUGUGAUGAUUCUUUCCACAAUAUUUAGUUGUAGAGAAUUUAUUGGAAUGCAAUAAAACAAUAAAUCAUCUUUGAUGAAUAA